GUAUACUAUAAACACACUAAUGAAGAGAGCCUAAAUUUUAUAGUAGAUACCAUUUUUAAUUAUAAAAUUAGGUCGUUCAUGGCCGUGUUCCAAACUCCAUCUGAUGACUUUGAGACAGUAGGUGGUGACUAAGCGCGCUUUGCAGUGGCUACUGCGGCAGCAACGCCACAGGAUCGAAGAAUUGUUCUUCGUAUUACAAUAAAAAGUAUAACCAUCGAUAAUUCCUAUGAUUUUCC
rnacentral:misc_RNA from 1 species